AUUCCGGUUGAUCCUGCCGGAGGCCAUUGCUAUUGGGAUCCGAUUUAGCCAUGCUAGUCGCACGAGUUCAGACUCGUGGCGAAUAGCUCAGUAACACGUGGCCAAACUACCCUUCGGAACACAAUACCCUCGGGAAACUGAGGCUAAUAGUGUAUACCAUACCACCACUGGAAUGAGUGGUAUGCCAAACGCUCCGGCGCCGAAGGAUGUGGCUGCGGCCGAUUAGGUAGACGGUGGGGUAACGGCCCACCGUGCCAAUAAUCGGUAUGGGUCAUGAGAGUGAGAACCCAGAGACGGAAUCUGAGACAAGAUUCCGGGCCCUACGGGGCGCAGCAGGCGCGAAACCUUUACACUGCACGACAGUGCGAUAGGGGGAUCCCAAGUGCACAGGCAUAGCGCCUGUGCUUUUCGGUACCGUAAGGUGGUACCAGAAUAAGGGCUGGGCAAGACCGGUGCCAGCCGCCGCGGUAAUACCGGCAGCCCAAGUGAUGGCCGAUCUUAUUGGGCCUAAAGCGUCCGUAGCUACUUUCC
rnacentral:rRNA from 1 species